AAGGAUCUCAGUGAUUCUAUCAAGACCAAUUCAAAGUUCCACGAUCACCUGAUUGCCGAAGCUGCGGGGUUUUUGCAGGGCUCCUGACUGAGCCAUGAUCUGCUGGGUCCACUAUUUGACACAUACCUGCCGAGCUCACCGAUCAGAAGCGGCGUGCUGCUCGUGCACAGAAAGGAUCUCAGUGAUUCGAUCAAGUGGCG